UUUCUGCUAUUAGUGUUUUUUUUUUUAAUUGUUGUUGCAGAUGUGUCCGGGAAUGUAGUUCCUUGCUCAGAACCUGUAGGUGUUCUCAUCUACAGCCCUUCCUCAGAAACCACAAUAGGUGCGAAUGUGACACUGGAAUGCAACUUAACAACCAAUUGUCUGCCAAUCAACUAUACUUUGUUCUUUGAAAGAUGUAAUAUCAAAGGCAAGGCAAUCAAGAAAAAGGCGAAGGAAAAUAUUGUGUUUAAAUUAACCAUCAACUCCAGAAGUGAACUUGGUGAAUAUAAAUGCAAAGCUCAGUACCUAUUUAAUAAUACAUUCAAAGCCAAAUACAGUUCUGGUUUCAACUUUACCCUAAAAGCUUUCCUCCCAGCAUCCACAGAAGACAAGAACAGACUGGUAGCGUUAAUUGUUGCUCCUUUGCUUCUGUUGCUGCUGCUACUCACAGUUGUCAUAACGUUUCCCUUGCUAAUCCUUCCUUGGUGUAAAGCAAGAAAAGGGAAGUCAGCCAGCAAGCCCACUAGUUAUGUAUCAGCUCAUUAUCCAAGUCCAGGAAACUGUGGAAUUUAUGAUGAUGCUGCAUAUGGAGAAGAGGAAGCAACUAAUUAUUGUGAUGUGAGAAUUAAGGUCAAGGUGGAAGACAGCAGAAAGGAAAUGCUCACUGAAGACACUAGAGUGACCUACGCAGAAAUCUUAAAUAGAAGAUAAAAGAGGGCUCUGUCUCAGAUGCUCCACUCCUUCCCUCUCUCGGGCUGAAAUAAAGAACUUCCUAGAAAACUCA
rnacentral:lncRNA from 1 species